GUCCCGUAGCGGAGCACUAUCGUCAGCGGAGCAUCCCUUGUCUUUUGAAUGUUACAUUUCCUCGGUGGGUUCGCCCGCCGAUUGGACAAUUUAAACCCUUUGCAGUUGCAAUCAGCGUCUGAAAAACAUAAUAGUUACAACUUUCAACAACGGAUCUCUUGGUUCUGGCAUCGAUGAAGAACGCAGCGAAAUGCGAUAAGUAGUGUGAAUUGCAGAAUUCAGUGAAUCAUCGAAUCUUUGAACGCACAUUGCGCCCCUUGGUAUUCCAUGGGGCAUGCCUGUUCGAGCGUCAUUUGUACCUUCAAGCAUUGCUUGGUGUUGGGUGUUUGUCUCGCCUUUGCGUGUAGACUCGCCUUAAAACAAUUGGCAGCCGGCGUAUUGAUUUCGGAGCGCAGUACAUCUCGCGCUUUGCACUCAUAACGACGACGUCCAAAAGUACAUUUUAACACUCUUGACCUCGGAUCAGGUAGGGAUACCCGCUGAACUUAAGCAUAUCAAUAAGCGGAGGAAGGAC
rnacentral:rRNA from 1 species